rnacentral:lncRNA from 1 species
AUUUUGAAGCAAGUAACUUCAUUUUUGGACCCACUGCCCUCAAGUCAAUGAUGUAGCAGAAUUGUGGCAAGGAAGCUGGCUUCAUCUAAAAUUCCUGCCAUGUGUUAGCCUACUGUUUGAGUGCUUCACAAUCACUCCUACCCUAGCAGGAAAAGCACUCUGACAAAGAAUUCCUGUAACCGAUUCCCCCUUGCGUCCUUAGGCCUCACAAUCAUCUACCAGGGGAGAUGGCAUGCCACCAGAAUGUCACAGAGAGGCACUAUAACCAUUGCUUUGUUCUGGGGCUUUUUGAAAGAGCAGAGAUACGAGGACCUCAGGGAAAAAGAUCAGUCAAUCAUACAAAGAAGCCAAACGUUCACUAGCCGUCUCAUGUAAUUCAACUUUUUGGCUUUAAUAAGAAAUCAUCUCUCUAUUAAACUGAAUUACCUUCAAAAAGUGUGCUUUCAGAAAUCAGCUCCAGGCUACAAAAAGGUCGUUCAGUUUGUACCAGUCAUUUUCUCUACAAGACCGUCUGAUCACUAUCUGUGUCCUCAGAAGUGCUGAGUCGAGAAGAGGUGCUGGGGAGCAUAAUCUGUUAGACGGAAUAGAAACCCCAGAGCUUUUAUCAUGAUACAGCUGAGAAGUGAACUGACAUGUGGGCAACCCAUGGAUGCAGAGGGAAGGCUUAGGCAAACCCCAUCUUCACAAUAGGAAAAACCACCUUUAUUUCCCUUGGAGAGUUUCCUGAUUUGAGCUCAGGACUCAUCUAGACAAAGUGAGUAAAGCAGGAAAAACUAAUAAGCACAGCAGCCAACUGGGAGGAGACGUGCUAGAGAGAGAAUUCCUUUCCCGGCACUGCUUGCUGCUUUCUGCUCUGCUUCUAACAGGCUCCCAAGAAGAUAAUGCUUCACUGGAAUGUAAUCUACCUUGUUCCACUUUCGAGAAAUUGGGGGUGAUGAUUGGGGAGGUGGGAGCACUGAUUAGGUCAGGAAGCGUCUCAGCCCGUCUUGUCAGCAGUUCUUCACUGAAAUGUCUCCAUCCACAGGACUAGUGUAAGUAAAACAGACCGAGAACAUCAUGGUUAAAACAAUAUGGUAGGAAAAACAAGGGACCAGUCAUCAAUAGGCUCAAUUCUCAGAAGAAUGUAAAACAGAGACUAAGAGUGGAGGGAAGAAGGAUUCCAAAAGAAUGUGGUCUAGGAAUAGAUCACAGAGGGGCCAUGAACCUCGACCGGAAGAUCUUCAGAGUCUGGUCACAUGAGUGAGGAGGGUAGAAGGAAUAGAAGGGACAAUGGAAGAGGAUGUGGCUUAUUAGGGAAUGUGGGAGGCCCACUGAAUCCUGAAGAGCAUCUGACCAUGACUCACCACACUCAAUGCCCAGAGUUUUUAACUUGAGGGUGGACCAUCUGUGCCUGCUGCAACCAUUCUCCUAGGCUUCCCAUCGCAGAGAAGGAUCUGCAGAGCCAUUUUCAUCUUUAAGAGCCAAUUGAGAGGCUUGAGUGAGGCCUCUGGUCUUGCCUAGGAAAAAACAGCUUAGAGAUUUGCCAGCUGAAGUGUGUGUUAUUAGUGACUGAGUGGCAAAUGUCUGGGGCAGUUUGAGUGGAUAGCCCCAGUAUCUUUAUCUAAAAUGAACUGAUGGGGGACAGAUUACAAUCCUCAAAAAAGAGAACACACCCCUGGCACUGGCUGUACCAGGCUGGAAGUUGGAGGCUCAGUUCUAGCACCCGCUUCCCUUUUAACAUAAGACUUGGUGGUGUACAUCCAAAGGAAACGCUCUGCUGUGUUGCCAUGCCGACCACCGAUCCCAGCUUUCCCACCAGGCAGGGGACCGAGGUCAGUGUUGCACAGGUGACAGGGGAAAGAGGGAACACACAUUCGCUAGAAGGGUGAACAGAAAUCAUUUAUCUAAACAGAAUAAUAGAAAUGAACAAAAACCUUUUAAAACAAUCAC